rnacentral:rRNA from 1 species
CCUACGGGUCGCAGCAGUGGGGAAUAUUGGACAAUGGGCGAAAGCCUGAUCCAGCAAUGCCGCGUGAGUGAUGAAGGCCUUAGGGUUGUAAAGCUCUUUUACCCGGGAUGAUAAUGACAGUACCGGGAGAAUAAGCCCCGGCUAACUCCGUGCCAGCAGCCGCGGUAAUACGGAGGGGGCUAGCGUUGCUCGGAAUUACUGGGCGUAAAGCGCACGUAGGCGGCUUUGUAAGUUAGAGGUGAAAGCCCAGGGCUCAACCCUGGAAUUGCCUUUAGGACUGCAUCGCUUGAACAUCGGAGAGGUAAGUGGAAUUCCGAGUGUAGAGGUGAAAUUCGUAGAUAUUCGGAAGAACACCAGUGGCGAAGGCGACUUACUGGACGAUUGUUGACGCUGAGGUGCGAAAGCGUGGGGAGCAAACAGGAUUAGAUACCCGAGUAGUC